rnacentral:rRNA from 1 species
UACGUAGGGUGCGAGCGUUAAUCGGAAUUACUGGGCGUAAAGCGUGCGUAGGCGGUUCGUUAUGUCUGCUGUGAAAGCCCCGGGCUUAACCUGGGAAUGGCAGUGGAAACUGGCGGGCUUGAGUGUGGCAGAGGGGGGUGGAAUUCCGCGUGUAGCAGUGAAAUGCGUAGAGAUGCGGAGGAACACCGAUGGCGAAGGCAGCCCCCUGGGCUGACACUGACGCUGAGGCACGAAAGCUAGGGGAGCAAACAGG